rnacentral:rRNA from 1 species
GACAGAGGGUGCAAACGUUGUUCGGAAUUACUGGGCGUAAAGCGUGUGUAGGCGGCUACAUAAGUCGGAUAUGAAAGCCCCGGGCUCAACCCGGGAAGUGCACUCGAUACUGCGUAGCUUGAGUCUCGGAGAGGUUGGUGGAAUUCUCGGUGUAGAGGUGAAAUUCGUAGAUAUCGAGAGGAACACCGGUGGCGAAGGCGGCCAACUGGACGAAGACUGACGCUGAGACACGAAAGCGUGGGGAGCAAACAGG